CGUGUAUCAAACAUAAUUAUUAAUAUUACUUAUAAUUUAAUGGUAGCAAUCUAUUUUGAAAGUAAUUUAUAUUAUUUUUUUAGAUUAUCUGGUGAUACACCAAAUGCUACCUCAAGUUGAUAUGAUCGAGAGACAGAGUGCUUGAAAAGGAAUGAGACCGUCGAGAGAGGGAUUUGAAUAAUAAAAUUUUAUGAGACAAUUGGACUUAUAUGAAUAAAAAGCUAUUGAUGUGAUUUACGAUGUUUGAAGUCAGUCCCCUUAUCAACAUCUUAGUGUUUCCCAAUGCCA
rnacentral:lncRNA from 1 species